GAACACAUGAUGAAAGUUUUCUUUUUCAUGGCAUCUUCUGCUUUGGUGGUCGACAAAAGCAAAAGUAUAAUCCUUUCCUUUCUCUUUUUAAUCCUUGCUUUUGCUUUUGUUUCCCGCAGCUCACUUGAUUGCUUUUGCCUUUCCUCUACAUCUUUGUUGCUUUUGUUUUUGUUUUCCAUGUGCCCUCGCAUAGCAAAGUCUCGUGAACGCAAAAUCUCUCCCUUUACAUGGUGCUUUGCCAGGGCCAGAAAGUUUGAACCAUGUGUGCAUCAUUCAUGAGAAGGCAUCGGCAGCGGUUGAUGCCCACCUGGAUGCAUGGUCUUGCUGAUGCAUGGUCCGAUGUUCAUAGAAAAAAUUCAGUCUCUAAUGCAAACCUCUAUCAGGACAUGGUAGCUCCUCACCGAUUGGCACACAUGAAACAGGAAACCCAAUCAUUUUGAUUUAGCUGAACUGCUUGCGCGACAACAAAUUCGACAACAGCAGCAUCAACAGCGGAAUAUUUUGGCUAGUUUUGGACAUUUGAAUGAUGCAGCAUUAGAGCAUUUGCCAAGUCAGAAUCUUAUCCACCGACAGUUAGCCAACCAUUCUUCAGCAGAUCUGGAUCACCUUUUGGCACUUCAGAUGCAACAGCAUUGGGAGGCUCAGCUCCAGCACCACACAACUUCAGCGUCGAGGGCCGUCUCGUCCACACCCACAGGUGCAUCCUGGCAGCCUGGAGCCUCUUUUUCUGGAAAUUCUUUUGUGGGCCGGAGCCACCGUCGGGUCUGGAUCUCUCGGCGUUGGUGACUAUGGUGUGCUUUCCGAUUAAUUUGCCAUCUCAGACGACGGCAACAGGGAGUCGAGAAUUGCACUGCAGCGGCUCCAACUCCAGAAAAUCUGAGAGGGAGCGACCGAGACUACUGGGCAUUUCAGGUUCAAACUCCACGGGCAAAACCAAGAACCUGCAAAAUCUGAGAAACCCGGCUUCCAGGUAGUCUUGAAAUCGGGGGAUUUAGUGGCUUUCAGGAGAUGUAGCGGCGGAGCAUGGCGGAGGAAGGAAGAAUGGAUGGAUUUGGUGGUGGGUCAGAGUUAAGGGGAGCUCCAGAGAUCGCAGAAAUGGAGAUCAAAGCCGUCGUGAUUUUCUGAUGAAGAGGUUUUUUGUUUUUGGCAGUUUAGGAUUGGGCUUGUGGGCCUGGGCAUGAUGACGAGCUCGUGUUGAUUCACUGUUUUGCAGAUUGUGGGCCUGGGCAUGAUGACGAGCUCGUGUGUUGAUUCACUGACCCCCUGAAACAUUCCGGCCUGUGGACACACAUCAUGCGAUGGAAGUUCGCCUUGGGCUGUCGAAGGGUCCAGUCGCCCCAAGCUUUAUGUGAUCCUCUUACUUUCUUGCCGAAAGAAGAGGAUUAGUAUCUUUGCUGUGGAUUUAUACUUUUAUGUUAAUGUUGUUCUUAAAUUGUGAUUGUCUGUCGCGCUGAGUUGAAAGGUCCAGACAUUGAUAUUGUGGAGUUACAUUUACUUUGGAGUAGUAUUGGGUUAUCUUCUAUCCAAUUACAGUUCCCCUA